GAGUUUGAUCCUGGCUCAGGACGAACGCUGGCGGCGUGCCUAAUACAUGCAAGUCGAGCGAACCGAAGAGAGCUUGCUCUCUGAAGUUAGCGGCGGACGGGUGAGUAACACGUGGGCAACCUGCCUGUAAGACUGGGAUAACUUGCGGAAACGUGAGCUAAUACCGGAUACGCUUUGACAUUCUCCUGAAUGUGAAAGGAAAGAUGGCUUCUGCUAUCACUUACAGAUGGGCCCGCGGCGCAUUAGCUAGUUGGUGGGAUAACGGCUCACCAAGGCAACGAUGCGUAGCCGACCUGAGAGGGUGAUCGGCCACACUGGGACUGAGACACGGCCCAGACUCCUACGGGAGGCAGCAGUAGGGAAUCUUCCGCAAUGGACGCAAGUCUGACGGAGCAACGCCGCGUGAGUGAAGAAGGUUUUCGGAUCGUAAAACUCUGUUGUUAGGGAAGAACCCGUAUCGUUCAAAUAGGGCGGUACGCUGACGGUACCUAACCAGAAAGCCACGGCUAACUACGUGCCAGCAGCCGCGGUAAU
rnacentral:rRNA from 1 species